rnacentral:rRNA from 1 species
UACGUAGGGGCAAGCGUUGUCCGGAAUCAUUGGGCGUAAAGCGCGCGUAGGCGGCCCGAUAAGUCCGCUGUGAAAGUCAAAGGCUCAACCUUUGAAUGCCGGUGGAUACUGUCGGGCUAGAGUCCGGAAGAGGCGAGUGGAACUCCUGGUGUAGCGGUGGAAUGCGCAGAUAUCAGGAAGAAACACCAAUAGCGAAGGCAGCUCGCUGGGACGGUACUGACGCUAAGGCGCGAAAGCGUGGGGAGCGAACAGG